GACGAACGCUGGCGGCGUGCCUAAUACAUGCAAGUAGAACGCUGACGUGAGGAGCUUGCUCUUCUUGGUUGAGUUGCGGACGGGUGAUUAACGCGUAGUUAACCUGCCUGGUAGCGGGGGAUAACUAUUGGAAACGAUAGCUAAUACCGCAUAAAAUGGAUUAUCUCAUUAUAAUCCAUUGAAAGGUGCAAAUGCAUCACUACCAGAUGGACCUGCGUUGUAUUAGCUAGUUGGUGGGGUAACGGCUCACCAAGGCGAGGAUACAUAGCCGACCAGAGAGGGUGAGCGGCCACACUGGGACGGGGAGACGGCCCAGAAUCCUACGAGAGGCAGCAGUAGGGAAUCCCUGGCAAAGGCAGGAAGUCUGAACGUGGAACGCCGCGUGAGUGAAGAAUGCUUUAGGGUCGUAAAGCUCAUGUGGAAGAGAAGAAUGAGAGGGAGAGUUGAAAGUGAACACUGUGACGGUAUCUGACCAGAAAGGGACGGCUAACUACGUG
rnacentral:rRNA from 1 species